rfam:Nomascus leucogenys chromosome 4, whole genome shotgun sequence.
GCCGGGCAUGGUGGCGCAUGCCUGUAAUCCCAGUUACUCUGGAGGCUGCGGCAGGAGAAUUGCUUGAACCCGGGAGGCGGAGGUUGUAGUGAGUUGAGAUAGCACCACUGCACUCCAGCCUGGGUGACAGAGCGAGACUCUGUCUCAA